AGAUGACACAUCCUCUUUGCUUCCAUCGACAACCUCUCUCCCAAAAAAAUAUUGUUCUCGCUUCGUCUUCCUUCCUGAACCCAUCUUCUUUAGUAUUUUCAUCCAACUCCAAUUAUUCUCGGUUCCAGUCAAUCGAUUCCUCUUUCUCACCUUAUCUUCUCAACAAAACGUCUGCUGAACUUUUUUCCUGCCCUAGAGUCACCUUCUUAAACUUCAAGAUUCUGAAAAUCUAAAUCAAGCUUCUUAAGGAGAAUGUGAUUAUAAGCGUUUCAGAUAAGGAGAAAAAACUGAAAGAUUGAGGCAAAGAUCUAUUCAGUGUUCUCUCUGGUGAUGUCAUGCAGAGACAGACACAAGACUUGCAAAAAAGAUCUUCAAUGAGGAACACACGCCUCGAUUCAUCUCUUGCAGAACACACCGCUUUAUCCAUUCCAUUUCCUCCUGCGAAAGUCUUUGUUUUUUUGGUAUCUUACACUUUAACUUACAAAAUUGCUUCCUUUUUUGUCUUUUAGUAAGCUCAGAAGAAGCACAAGUAUGAUGGUGUGAAACCGAAGAAACCCAUAAAAGAAAGGAGGAUGAAGAUAGAAAGAAGACAUGGAGAAGUCAAAGAAAGGACUUUUGAACAAAUGUAGAAGUGCUUCCUUUGUUUCACAACCUAAAGCGAAAGAGUUGGAAGCAGGAGAUGAAGACUACGAAGUGAUGCAGCUCCAUAUGUGAGACACCUACCAAUUGGCAGCCAAAACCAACAUGAAGGUGUUGUUAGUGGUGUUAUAUGCCGAUGCAAGUUUACUACUCGAAGAAGAAACAAGGAAAGCAGAUUGUAGAAGCAGAAGAAGUGUCACACCGAGGGUUGGAGGCUGGAACUUCUAAUGCGUAACAAGAAUUAAGAAGAGCGGUUAGAGUCGUUAGACUUUUAUAGUUGAGCUUGACUAAAACAAACAUAAACCAGAGACAUAAGACGUCGACUCUGUCUCGGGUUCAUUUCUAUUGGUCAGCUUCAUCGACUCUUUGCUUAGGGGAAGGCGGAGCUGCGUUUCCGGUUAAUCCAUGCUUGGGAAGCAAGGAAACACAACCGAAGUGAGAAUUUUAGUUGGGCUAGGACUGCUUCUGAUCUAUGAGCAGGUACUUUCAUACAUGGGUUCAUCUCACCUAACUGUUGGGUAGCUGUUGAUGAUCAAGGAUGAGCAUAUGCGUAGGGUGGGAAUGAACAUGGUGUCGUGAAGACGAGAUCCGUACGAGGAGACGUUGUGCUCAGAUAUAUUUGUCUCUAAUGUUUAUCUGUGGAUGAUAAAUUGAUAAUCCAUCUGAUGGUUUACCUUCUUAACAGGUUGCUGCAGGUGGUGCUACCCAGUAGUUUUCACACGCGAAGGUUAUGUGUGGACUUGGGGUCAUUCGUGGCCUCCCGUGACAUGUAUAGAGACAAAUUAAAACUCACACAAAGCCAUUUGUGCAUUAUUUGGCUACUACUUGAAUGUUCUGUUUUGGUUUCCUCCCUAUGUAGAAAACAAAUAUUUGUUCGAGUGUUCAUGGUCUUGAAAACUUCUGUUUUAUUGCUGUUGGAGCAUUUCAUAAUUUGCCUCUUGAAGAAGAUGGCAGACUAUUGGCACAACCCCUCAUCAUGUCCGAGUCCAAGGCCUCGACGAUCUCAAUUAGAUCCUCAUUUUCAUCAAGAAUAACUUUGUAUGUGUGGUCUUCUAAUUUUAAGCCCGGGUUAGGUGACAAUGACAAGAGCAGCAAAAUAGCUCCACAGAAAGUUGAUCUUCUAGAUAACAAAGACAUCGUUCAUGUUGUAAAUCAAACUUUACUGAUCUUGAGAUGUCUAAAAGAGGACAUCAUUCAUGUAAAGAAAUAUUAAACUUUAAUGAUCAAUAACCUUAUUACAAAUA